rnacentral:lncRNA from 1 species
GUUCGUGACUUUGACAAAGAGGACACAGACGUUACUUAGAGCAACUUUACAGAUGCGCCAACAAGCCCAAGACCCCGAACUGCUUAUUGAUCUGCAGCAUAGUCACUCUUGCUAAUUCAUAUUCUGCCACGCCUGAACUAAGAAAAACUUGGUUGGAAACAAUUGCUCAUCAUCAUACUCGCUUGGGGAAUUGGUCCGAAGUAACCCAGUGCCGAAUUCAUGUAACAGCUCUCAUAACCGAGUACCUGUACCGGAGAGGUCUCCGACAACAGGGGUGCAAAACCUUUAGUUCCUUGUCACCUAAUAUUGUUCAAGAUGAGAGCAACCUUCGUUUAGUCACAGGAAUCCAUGAUACUCAGUAUGACGAAGCCAUGCUACUCAAACAGUUGGAAGAAUGUAGCCGUGCGGUAGAAAAAGCUGAACGCUACGAAAUGCAACUCGAAAUUUACCGAUUAUUGUACCAACUUAUGAAAAACAGAGAGACUACGUUGCAUUAGCUGAGUGUUUUGGUGUCCUUUCCCAGGCGUGUUCUCGAGCCAAUGAAGUAAAUCGAACUUGGAAACGGUUGCUUGCUGGUAUUUAGGCCUACUACCGAGUUGCACUGUAUGGAAAAGUAUUUCAUUGGCUCCGUCAGUAGGUGGCUAAAAUCAAGUUGUCCCCCAGCCGCCAGAUGACUCGAGUGUCUUUGAGAAGUCAUUGUUAGUUGAAUCAUGAGGUUCUGAGAGAAAGAGUCGCCAUUUUUAGACCUUUUAUUUUAGUGAGGUUUUGACUUUUGAAUUUUGAUGUUGGCUUAAUUAGCUGGAUGGCUGGAUUGCCACUUGUGAGGCAUUUCUUAGAAUGUGAUGGGUUUUAGUUGUGAAAGUGGCCUGAAAGCAUGCUGAAAGUGUUUAAUUUCAUUUUUAUUUGUAGACGAAUUUUGAUGCUGAAAGUGAAAGACUUGGAAACCAUGCUGUCGACCACGUCGAGAAGCUGAGUAACAUUCUGCUUUUACGAUGGCACCUCUUAAUAAAAGGAACUUAAGCCAUCCAACCUAGGACUUCCAUCAAAUCGUGCAGGCUGCAUGGAAGUUGCAUUUACCUUUGCUGUGAACAUCAUGAACACAUAUACACUAUUUGAAGGUUCAUGUUUACGUAGCAGUGGUGUUGCUGUCCAAUGUGGCGUGUUGUUGCAGCCUAUGGUGGUGAACGAUAUCUGCAUCAAGUUGCUGUUCUUGUGCAUCCAAGGUGCUGGUUUAGUGCUACAGAAGUGACAUCCAAUAUUGUGUUCAAUUGCUAUUUGUGUCUUUGCAGUUUACCUUUAUAUAUUGAGAAGAAACAACAAAAAUAGUAAUACGGGGAGGUUUAUGUCAAACAAAUAAUAAACAUGUCCAGGAUGGGGGAAUGAGGAGGGAGUUGGGGUGGGGUAUUUUGUUAUGAUUUACUAAAAGAAGUAAGGUAUAUUUAUAAUGAAUAUGCAGUACUUGGUGAUAAAAUCUGUUGUAAACCUAUACCUUCCUGUCAACCUAUACCUUCCCCACUUAUACAUCCAUUCCUCAAACCC